rnacentral:rRNA from 1 species
UUACAGAGAAAUUCUUUCUUGAAUUCAAAAAUUGAAGUUAUUUUUGUAUGUGAAGAAACAACAAUAAAAAUUAAGGACAAGAAGACCCUAAGAAUUUUUUGAAAUUUAAGGAAUUAUUUUCUAUAAAUUUCUUUAAUUGGGGCGAUUAAUAAAAAUUUCAAACUUUAUUAAAAUAAAAACGAACCAAUAAUAUUGGUAAUAUGAAAAAAAUACUCUAGGGAUAACAGCGUAAUAAUUUUAGAUAGUUCUUAUAGACAAAAUAGUUUGCGACCUCGAUGUUGGAUUAGGAUACUUUUUUAAUGAAGAAGUUAAAAAAAGAAGUUUGUUCAACUUUUAAUUUCCUACUUGAUCUGAGUUCA